AGUGGCGGACGGGUGAGUAACGCGUGGGUAACCUGCCUCAUACAGGGGGAUAACAGUUAGAAAUGACUGCUAAUACCGCAUAAGCGCACAGAGCUGCAUGGCUCGGUGUGAAAAACUCCGGUGGUAUAAGAUGGACCCGCGUUGGAUUAGCUAGUUGGUGGGGUAACGGCCCACCAAGGCGACGAUCCGUAGCCGGCCUGAGAGGGUGAACGGCCACAUUGGGACUGAGACACGGCCCAGACUCCUACGGGAGGCAGCAGUGGGGAAUAUUGCACAAUGGGGGAAACCCUGAUGCAGCGACGCCGCGUGAAGGAAGAAGUAUCUCGGUAUGUAAACUUCUAUCAGCAGGGAAGAUAGUGACGGUACCUGACUAAGAAGCCCCGGCUAACUACGUGCCAGCAGCCGCGGUAAUACGUAGGGGGCAAGCGUUAUCCGGAUUUACUGGGUGUAAAGGGAGCGUAGACGGUGUGGCAAGUCUGAUGUGAAAGGCAUGGGCUCAACCUGUGGACUGCAUUGGAAACUGUCAUACUUGAGUGCCGGAGGGGUAAGCGGAAUUCCUAGUGUAGCGGUGAAAUGCGUAGAUAUUAGGAGGAA
rnacentral:rRNA from 1 species